UGGGUAACCUGCCUUAUAGUGGGGGAUAGCCUUUCGAAAGGAAGAUUAAUACCGCAUAAGAUUGUAGUAUCGCAUGAUAUAGCAAUUAAAGGAGCAAUUCGCUAUAAGAUGGACCCGCGUCGCAUUAGCUAGUUGGUGAGGUAAUGGCUCACCAAGGCGACGAUGCGUAGCCGGCCUGAGAGGGUGAUCGGCCACAUUGGGACUGAGACACGGCCCAGACUCCUACGGGAGGCAGCAUG
rnacentral:rRNA from 1 species